UCAUCAUUGACCGUGUCGAGAAGAGCCAGCCAGCGCAGCCACAUGCAGCUUUGGGCUGAUGUCCACAAACUAGGGAAAAAGCUACAGGAAUGCAAACUGGCUUUUGGUGUCGAAGAUGAGAUUUUCAGAAAGAUGAAACACCAAACCCGAGAAUUGAAGGAAUCCAUAAAAGAAUAUGAGGCAGUAAUCCAG